GGGCGAAUAGCUCAGCUGGCUAGAGCACUUCGUUGACAUCGAAGAGGUCGUAGGUUCAAGUCCUGCUUCGCCCA
rnacentral:tRNA from 1 species